UACGUAGGGUGCAAGCGUUGUCCGGAAUCACUGGGCGUAAAGGGCGCGUAGGCGGUCUGCUAAGCGUGUGGUGAAAGCUCGGGGCUCAACCCCGAGUCUGCCAUGCGAACUGGUGGACUUGAGCACUGUAGAGGCAGGUGGAAUUCCGGGUGUAGCGGUGGAAUGCGUAGAGAUCCGGAAGAACACCGGUGGCGAAGGCGGCCUGCUGGGCAGUUGCUGACGCUGAGGCGCGACAGCGUGGGGAGCAAACAGGAUU
rnacentral:rRNA from 1 species